UUCUGUCCAUCACAGAGAAGCACUCAGAGA
rnacentral:piRNA from 1 species